rnacentral:rRNA from 1 species
UUACGAGGUCAGGACACUGUGAGGAUUGACAGAUUGAAAGCUCUUUCUUGAUUCAGUGGGUGGUGGUGCAUGGCCGUUCUUAGUUGGUGGAGUGAUUUGUCUGGUUAAUUCCGUUAACGAACGAGACCUUAACCUGCUAAAUAGUCACGCGAACCGGUCCGCAAGGGCUCAAAGUUCGCGGCUCGACUUCUUAGAGGGACUAUUCGCACCCGCCAGCGAAUGGAAGUUUGAGGCAAUAACAGGUCUGUGAUGCCCUUAGAUGUUCUCGGCCGCACGCGCGUUACACUGACGGAGUCAACGAGCGUUUUUCCUUGCCCGACAGGGCUGGGUAACCUCCUGAAACUCCGUCGUGAUGGGGAUAGAUCAUUGCAAUUAUUGAUCUUGAACGAGGAAUCCCUAGUAAGCGCGAGUCAUCAACUCGCGCUGAUUACGUCCCUGCCCUUUGUACACACCGCCCGUCGCUCCUACCGAUUGAACGGUCCGGCGAGAACUCCGGAUGGUC